rnacentral:tRNA from 1 species
UGACCAUAGUUUAAUAAAUUCUAGUCCGUGAUUCUAGAGAUGAGGACUAAUAAUCUUCUGCUCACC